rnacentral:misc_RNA from 1 species
GAGAGAGAGAGAGAGAGAGGGGAUCAAAGCCAGAGAGCUCCAGCUUCCUUGAGAAGAGGGACGAGGGUUCCAUUGAUAUGGGAAGCCAUAACUCUAUCCAUAGCACCAAUUAGCUUCCCACCAAUGAAAACAACAGGAACUGGACUUGAAUAAUUCCCAAGUAGCCUCAUCAAUGCUCUCUCAAUCUCCUUCCCUGUUGGAUCCUGGUCUAGCUCAUACACAGUAGGGUUCACACCCAUCCCACAGAAUAAACUUUUCACCGCAUGGCACAUGCAGCAGCUACUGAUACUAAAUAUCACCACCGCACUUUCAGAGGCCAGCCUCACCACUCUCUCCAAUGGGUCUGAACCUAUCAUACCUCUCACCGCCGGCACAUAGUAACCCCAUGACGACGACUCUGCAGCCUGCUGCUGGUGCUGGUACUGAUACUGGUACUGCAUAUUCAAGAAUUUUGUUUUCUUGCACUGAUA